rfam:Ixodes scapularis strain Wikel colony gcontig_1108378533786, whole genome shotgun sequence.
GUGGUUAGCUCAGUUGGUAGAGCGCUCCACCUGUAAUGGAGAGGUCCCGGGUUCGAUACCCGGACCAGACG